UUUGACUCUGAUGGGUCCUUGCACUUGAGGCGUGGCUGUGGGAGAGGGUGUACACGUUUUGGUGGUAAAAGGGAACUAUCAGAAAGUCGAUUCCAUAGUUUUCAGAGUCCUCAGGGAGGGGAGAGUGUUAAGGAAACAGUUUACAGAACAUGUUUGCAGCCCAAUAGGCUUCCUCAGCGGAUCCUUCACUGACCAUGCCAUCCUGAUGCCACCCUCUUUUGGCCUUGAAGAACUUCCAUUUGAAAUAUGGAAGGGCCAGUGCAUAGUUUCUGAGAAAAACCUUCUUUGUCUUUUGGUUUAAAUCGACUUGGUUGACACUAUCUGGGCUUUGAAAGCCCCGCACCUGCCCGGGCGCUGUUGGAAAGGAGCACUGGAAAGCGUUCAGUGACGAAGGUCACCCAGCUCUCUCACAGUUCCCACUGGACAGUGUUUCCAUGAGGCCUGGAGAAUAUUUCGGACAGUCACCUGCUCCCAGGUCCCACAGACUAUUCGUGGAGCAGAGUCAAAGCCCUAGCACCGUGACGGCACCGUCUGUGUAUUCAACCCUUUGGCAUGACCCAGCAAUGAGGUUUUUUAUUUUUAUUUGUUUUUAUUUUUUAAGAAUGUUGGACCCCAUCGCAUCUGUGUAGAUAAUUCCCUCUUACAGCCAAUACAUCUUUGCAACACGAAGAUCCCUUGGGUGGUGACACUCUCCAACGUGGCCAAGGAUAGCACCUUUUGUUCCUGGGUUAGUAGAUAUUGCUGAGGCCACAGACCCCAGGAACAGGAGUACGAUUGUAAGAAGGACUCUGAAACAGCAUUUUAUUUUUACCUCUGUCUUUAUCUAUAUCAAAUCGUUCAAGAAAUAGAAAGAUCCAGGCUGAAAGCCUAUUCCAUACACUGCGUUGCAAGAUCGAGGUACUGGUGGCAAUGGCUUGAAGUUCAGGGAAUAUGUCUUGGAAUAAGAAAUGGAUCCAUAAGUACUCACAUUCGGGUCUCCUUUGAUCCCCGUUUUCCUUUAACUUCUUUUCCACUUUAAAGUAGGCCGAUCGGGGGCUCUCAUCUAUGAUCACUGAACACUCCAUGUCAAGAAUCAUAUAAAAUCGCCAAACAGGUCAUAUCACCAUGAUGAGGCCAUGGAUACCGGGAAAGCAGCAGAGAGGUAAGAGGUUGGGAGUCAGAAGGCUGCCUCUGUAGUUAGAAAAGUCUCUCCACCUUUCC
rnacentral:lncRNA from 1 species